GGCGUUCGCACCUACAAAGCCGGAGAUGCACCUGCAAACAAGGCAGUUCCCCUCGCCUGCAACUCCCCCCGGGGCGGCACUUUAUUUGCAAAGCAGCGUAAUUGGUUUAAGCUUGCGGGAAAAGAAGAAGAGACGGAGAAACCCCGUGAGUCACGGCGCAGAGACACAACACUACAGACACCCAGUGCAUACGGACAGAGGCUUGAAUGCGGAUUCACCGAGGUUAACCUCCACUUGGCAAACAUCAGUGGGAACAGUCCAUACGCCUGAACACAGAGCUCCUAUACUCGUUUAAUUCGGUGCUUAAGUCUGCUCGGGAGCCUCCCAGAAGAACAGACGCCUCCGGCGAGGCUGGGAGGGGUUCACCAGCCCCAGUGCCCCGCCGGCGGUGCCUCCCCGCCGUGUGACCUCGGGGCGGUGCUGCCCCGCUUCCCAGGGCACAGCCCCGCGGGAGCAACACCCGCCGGGCCGUCGGGCAGCCCACGCAGGGCUCGCUGCGUACCUGGAAAAAGAGCAGGCACGAACCCGACGGGCGGCACGCUCCUCGGAUGCCGGUACAAAACGCGGGGCCGUUUGGCUGGAACCGCCCCCGAGGCGUAGAGGGCACCAGGUCCCGCUCCUGGCUGACCGUGCCGGGCCGUGCCAUGCCGGGCCGGGCGUUGCGCAAAGCCGCAGCGCCUCCUGUUGUCCAGCUGCGGCUCCGGGCUCUGUGCCCUGUUCCUAACGUUGCUCCCGGAGCACACAAGUAGACAUGAAAGACCUGAGAGACAUUCCUGACAUAAAAUAAAUACAUACCUCCAUCUCUGAAAAUACAUAUCCGACCAAUUAAAGGAGAAAGAAGGACAAAUAACGAAAUGAAAAGCUACAAAUAAGCUAGUGUCCGACGGUGGCAGAGAUCAGAGUAAGAAAGCAGUUUACUUUUUCUUUAUUGUAAAAAAAUAGCUCCUUAAGUAGAUAAAUCAUGAUCCAGUGUAUACAGUCACUUCAUUUUUGCUAAUCGGGUAGAUGUGAGUAUGUUGUUUGCAGAACUUCAGCUGGUAGGAUGCUCACAGUGCAGUAUGUGAUUGGCAAAGUCUGUCUUACUUUACAUAAAAAUAAAUGCUUUUGACAUUUCACACAAUUCAAGAUCAGCCGUGUAGGUAUGUAUUUCAUUUAUUGGGUGCAUUAUUUAUGUUAUGAUUUACUGAAACAUAAAUGGCAAUUCUUCCGACGUGUGUUUCAAUCACUGUGUCAGUUCUGAUGCAAUUGCUCUACGUUUUUGAAAGUUUUCUUUGUUUUAAGUGUGCUCUGUUUCUGAGCUGAGAAAGGCUUCAUCGACUGCUGUCUGUCCUUUCUUUUCUAUUUUCUUUCUUUUUUCUUUUUUUCUUUUUUUUUUUUUUUCCAACAGUACCUGUUCAUUGAAAAAAAAGGUAUUUCCACUCCUCAUGAAUCUGACUUCUCCAAAACCUGCAGUGAGUUCUCUGUGAGAACAUCUGUUUUACUGAUGCAAGCCAAAGAUCCAUCCCUGUAUUGGUCAAGCGAUGCAGAGCUGAUCAGCUCCUUGGGAUAUUCAUGUCAAUAUAAACACACCCGUUCUUCUGCAAACUGACCUUUCUAAGCAGAAGGUUGAGCUGGCAACUUGGAUUUUGUGUGGUGUAGAGUGUAGAAAUGCUACUCUUCUAUCACUGCAUAGUACCAUGUUUUCAUUUUUUUUUUUUUUUUUGCCCUGAUUUCCCUUACCUGUACAAAAUAUUCAUUCUCCUCUGUCUCUACAGCAGUUUUACAGAAAAGCAUGGGAGAGACUAGUAUCCAUCAUAACUCUUUCUCAGCUGGCUUCAGUUCUGAAAAAUCAAAUGUACAAAAUCAAGGCUGGCUUAUUUAAAGUCUUCCCCAGGGAGCAGUUCCACAGCUUUACCCAGCUUGCAGUUCCUAGAGCACAAAUGAAUUCAGGCUGUGUUAACUGCACAUUUUCUUGAGCUGUAUUAAUACGGACACUCAGCAUUGUGGGAUGUGUGGCAGUGUGAUCACUCAUAUAGAAACACUUUGGCCAUUUAUACCAUCAGGGGACAUACACUAACCUGCACAUAGAAAAAAAUGAUAUUUACCCUGGAAAAGGAUGUCUGGAGGCCCUAUGUAACACAUACCAUAGUUUUACAUUGAAAUGUGAGAAUGUGAGUGUCAACUGGUAAUACCCUAAAAUUAUAAGCAAGACACAUAAAAUAGGACAGUCAACUCGCAUCUAUGGGAAAGUAGAGGAAGGUCUGGAUUCAGUAACAUUUUAGGACUCCUCAGGGGCAGCAGCUGUUCAGUAGUUUGGAGAGUGGUUGGCUCUCCCAGCAGUUGGCCUGAGCUUCUGCUGCUCCUUCAAGCAUUUCAAGGGUAAUUCUUCCUGCUGAGCAGAUUUGAAGAGAAUGACAUCAGGAAGGUCACUUAGCUCACCAUGAGCCUUCCGUUCCGCCUUCAUGUGAGCUCACUUCUCUUUGCAACUACUGGUGAGACAAGGAAGAGGCAGGGCUAGGCAGAUUUCAUUCAUUCCUCCUCCACCCUUCCCCAGUGAACAAGGAAGCUGCCUAAAUGUUUCUGAAGUGCAUGUGGUUUCAGGGUUACUCCUUUUUAGGUAGCAACUUAAGGUGGGAUGGUUGGGAAGUAAGCCAACACUGCUUUCCUUCAUGUCCUCCGAAUGAGAGAAAUUCUGUCUUCCAGCCCAACAGUUUCAUAGUUGGAUCAGGUGGCUUUCUUACUACCUGUUGAACAUUGAAUCUUUAGCUCUUUUUCAGGAACCACUUGUUUUAUGCCAGAAAUCCUGUAAAUCUUUUCUAACCUUACCCUACAACACAACUGAAACUUCAGCUUUUGCAGACACCUCUCCUCACCCCUCGCAGGACAUUUCCUUUUGCUGAAGAAACUAAGCAGAUGUAAAGAUUUUUCUUGUGAUUAAAUAGGAUUUCAUUGUCCUUCAAUACUGACACUUCAUCUGUAAAACCUGAGGAGAACUCUUCAACUGUGAGAUCUAAAAGCACACAUGCAUUGCAUAUAGAUAGAUAGAUAGAUAGAUAGAUAGAUAGAUAGAUAGAUACACACACACAUUCACUGUCAAGUUGUUGUCCUAAGUGUAAAAAGGGUUGGGGUAGAAUAAGGGUCUGGAAAAUCUGUUUUCUAGUAUUAACUGAAAGACAAUAGAGAACAAAGAUAACAUGAUCAAGUUUUAAAUCUAAAGCUAGUAAAGGGCUGAGCCCAGCAAAGAUUUUGGCAGGUGUCUAGCUGUAAUUUCUUGAUUUAUUGCUUACAACCUUUUUUAAAGCCAGGAGUGUCUCUGACCUUGUGCCCAUAAUAAAGGCUGUGUGUGAUAGGCUUCUAGAAGUUACUCAUGUAAGUUUUCUUGAGUUGUAUAAUGAAAUGGCACAUAACUGAAAAUAUUGCAGUCUCAUCAUACCAAAAAAUAAACCUGAAA